rnacentral:rRNA from 1 species
UACGGAAGGCAGCAGUGGGGAAUAUUGCACAAUGGGCGAAAGCCUGAUGCAGCUAUGCCGCGUGUAUGAAGAAGGCUUUAGGGUUGUAAAGUACUUUCAUCGGGGAGGAAAAACAAAACUAAUAAUUUUAUUUCUUGACGUUACCCGAAAAAGAAGCACCGGCUAACUCCGUGCCAGCAGCCGCGGUAAUACGGAGGGUGCUAGCGUUAAUCAGAAUUACUGGGCGUAAAGAGCACGUAGGUGGUUUUUUAAGUCAGAUGUGAAAUCCCCUGGGCUUAACCUAGGAACUGCAUUUUGAAACUGAAAUACUAGAGUAUCGUAGAGGGAGGUAGAAUUCUAGGUGUAGCGGUGAAAUGCGUAGAUAUCUGGAGGAAUACCUGUGGCGAAAGCGGCCUCCUAAACGAAUACUGACACUGAGGUGCGAAAGCGUGGGGAGCAAACAGGGAUUAGAUACC